UGAGCCCAGCCAAGGCAACUUAGCAAGACCCUGUCUCAAAAUAAGAAAUAACAAAGAGCUGGGAUGUAGUUCGGUGCGAAGGUCCGCGGUUCAUCUCCGGGAACACCAAAAAAAGGAGAGGGAAGAGGCUUCGCUCUAGAUGUAGCCGAGAUGACAGCGUUCGCUACCUUUUCUCUCAGUUCUCCGUGCUCCUUAGUGUCUCACCGGAAAGACAGCUGCCAGCAUUUCUCAUCUCCUGCAGAUCCACGCUGAACGGGCGAAAUUACAG